GACGAACGCUGGCGGCGUGCUUAACACAUGCAAGUCGAGCGGUAAGGCCCUUUCGGGGGUACACGAGCGGCGAACGGGUGAGUAACACGUGGGUGACCUGCCCUCAGCUCUGGGAUAAGCCUGGGAAACCGGGUCUAAUACUGGAUAUGACUCCAUGACGCAUGUUGUGGGGUGGAAAGCCUUGUGCGGCUGAGGAUGGGGCCCGCGGCCUAUCAGCUUGUUGGUGGGGUGAGGCCUACCAAGGCGACGACGGGUAGCCGGCCUGAGAGGGCGACCGGCCACACUGGGACUGAGACACGGCCCAGACUCCUACGGGAGGCAGCAGUGGGGAAUCUUGCGCAAUGGGCGAAAGCCUGACGCAGCGACGCCGCGUGAGGGAUGACGGCCUGG
rnacentral:rRNA from 1 species